rnacentral:rRNA from 1 species
GACAGGUGCUGCAUGGCUGUCGUCAGCUCGUGUUGUGAAAUGUUGGGUUAAGUCCCGCAACGAGCGCAACCCUUAUCCUUUGUUGCCAGCGGUUAGGCCGGGAACUCAAAGGAGACUGCCAGUGAUAAACUGGAGGAAGGUGGGGAUGACGUCAAGUCAUCAUGGCCCUUACGAGUAGGGCUACACACGUGCUACAAUGGCGCAUACAAAGAGAAGCGACCUCGCGAGAGCAAGCGGACCUCAUAAAGUGCGUCGUAGUCCGGAUUGGAGUCUGCAACUCGACUCCAUGAAGUCGGAAUCGCUAGUAAUCGUGGAUCAGAAUGCCACGGUGAAUACGUUCCCGGGCCUUGUACACACCGCCCGUCACACCAUGGGAGUGGGUUGCAAAAGAAGUAGGUAGCUUAACCUUCGGGAGGGCGCUUACCACUUUGUGAUUCAUGACUGGGGUGAAGUCGUAACAAGGUAACCGUAGGGGAACCUGCGGUUGGAUCACCUCCUUACCUUAAAGAA